UACGAAGGGCGCUAGCGUUGUUCGGAAUCACUGGGCGUAAAGCGCACGUAGGCGGAUGUGUCAGUCAGGGGUGAAAUCCCGGGGCUCAACCUCGGAACUGCCUUUGAUACUGCAAAUCUCGAGUCCGGAAGAGGUGAGUGGAAUUCCUAGUGUAGAGGUGAAAUUCGUAGAUAUUAGGAAGAACACCAGUGGCGAAGGCGGCUCACUGGUCCGGUACUGACGCUGAGGUGCGAAAGCGUGGGGAGCAAACAGG
rnacentral:rRNA from 1 species